CCCUUAGAUGUUCUGGGCCGCACGCGUGCUACACUGAGUGGAUCAGCGGGUCAGGUUGCGCGAAAGUGUUUCCUAAUCUUUAAAUCCGCUCGUGAUGGGGAUUGACGGUUGCAAUUUUCCGUCAUGAACGAGGAAUACCUUGUAAGCGCGGGUCAUCAUCCCGCGCUGAAUACGUCCCUGCCCUUUGUACACACCGCCCGUCGCUCCUACCGAUUGAAUGGUUUAGUGAGGCCUUCGGAUCCGCGACUCGUUUUGUGGAGAAGUUGGACAAACUCAGUCAUUUAGAGGAAGUAAAAGUCGUAACA
rnacentral:rRNA from 1 species